GCCCGCGUGGCGGAAUGGUAGACGCGCUACGUUCAGGACGUAGUCCUCCAAAAGAGGGUGUCAGUUCAAAUCUGACCGCGGGCA
rnacentral:tRNA from 1 species